rnacentral:lncRNA from 1 species
CGGGAUUUGAUCGUUUUGAGCUCCAAAUUUGAAUUGGGUUGGGGCCUAUAAAUACCCCACCCAUUCAGCACUGAAAAGAUAUAGACCUACACCGAAUUCUUGAUCUUUUCUGUGAUUCUAAGAGCUCAAAUUUGUGUAAAGUCCAAAAGUUCUACUCUUUCUGUUCUUCAAGUCUUGAGUUGUAAAGAGAGGAGAGAAAGGUUCUGUAAGGGUUGUCUCCUGAGCCCGUCAAAAGGAGUGAAAC